UUUUGUUUUUUAUAUAAGAUUCAAAUUAUACAUAUGUUCGAUAUUCCUAGUGAACAUAUAAAAGAUUUCAUCACAAUUUUUUUUUUGCUAAAUUAAGAUUUCAUCACAAUUCACAUGCAUGCACUAAGAAGUCAGAAAUUAUGCGAUUGAGAUUAACGAUAUUUCACAACUAGUUGACAAUUUUUGUUUUUCCUUCUUUCUUACUUGGUGUAAAGAGUGGUUGACAAUUAAAGCAAAAAAAAAAAAAAAAAGUAUUCUCUUCCGAACUACGUCGACGUACGUUAUCAAAUAUAUAGUUUAAAGAUGUUAUACCAUUCGAUAUUCUUGGUUUUGCGGCAUAUAAUAAACAAGCCAUGCAAUUAUAUGUCUUUUCAGUGAAUCAAAUAAUCUUAUAUCUUGUAAAAAAUAAAAAAAUCUAAAGAAUAGCAUAUAAAUUUAAACAAAAAGAUCAUGCAGCGUAUAUAUAUAUAGUCUCUUCUCUCGAUGGAACUAUGUUGUCAAGAAUAGUUUUUUCUUGAGUAUAUUCUAUUCUACAGAAAUAGUUAUCUAUACUUACUAGUGAAUGAGGAACGUACGUACAAUUAAAAGUUUAAAACCAAAAUAAAAAAUAA
rnacentral:lncRNA from 1 species